UACGUAGGAUGCAAGCGUUGUCCGGAUUUACUGGGCGUAAAGCGCGCGCAGGCGGCACUCUAAGUACGUCGUGAAAUAUCCCGGCUCAACCGGGAGGGUGCGAUGUAGACUAGGGAGCUAGAGGUCGGUAGAGGGGGGUGGAAUUGCUGGUGUAGCGGUGAAAUGCGUAGAGAUCAGCAGGAACACCCGUGGCGAAGGCGGCCCCCUGGGACGGUACUGACGCUGAGACGCGAAAGCGUGGGGAGCGAACAGG
rnacentral:rRNA from 1 species